CGGAACGGGUGGGUAACGCGUGAGGAACCUGCCUCAAAGAGGGGGACAACAGUUGGAAACGACUGCUAAUACCGCAUAAGCCCACAGGUCGGCAUCGACCAGAGGGAAAAGGAGCAAUCCGCUUUGAGAUGGCCUCGCGUCCGAUUAGCUAGUUGGUGAGGUAAUGGCCCACCAAGGCAACGAUCGGUAGCCGGACCGAGAGGUUGAACGGCCACAUUGGGACUGAGACACGGCCCAG
rnacentral:rRNA from 1 species